rnacentral:rRNA from 1 species
UAAGGUCACGGCGAGACGAGCCGUUUAUAUAGGUGUCAAGUGGAAGUGCAGUAAUGUAUGCAGCUGAGGCAUCCUAACAGACCGAGAGAUUUGAAC